GACGAACGCUGGCGGCGUGCUUAACACAUGCAAGUCGAACGGAAAGGCCCUGCUUUUGUGGGGUGCUCGAGUGGCGAACGGGUGAGUAACACGUGAGUAACCUGCCCUUGACUUUGGGAUAACUUCAGGAAACUGGGGCUAAUACCGGAUAGGAGCUCCUGCUGCAUGGUGGGGGUUGGAAAGUUUCGGCGGUUGGGGAUGGACUCGCGGCUUAUCAGCUUGUUGGUGGGGUAGUGGCUUACCAAGGCUUUGACGGGUAGCCGGCCUGAGAGGGUGAACGGCCACAUUGGGACUGAGAUACGGCCCAGACUGCUACGGGAGGCAGCAGUGGGGAAUAUUGCACAAUGGGCGGAAGCCUGAUGCAGCAACGCCGCGUGCGGGAUGACGGCCUUCGGGUUAUAAACCGCUUUCGCCUGUGACGAAGCGUGAGUGACGGUAAUGGGUAAAGAAGCACCGGCUAACUACGUG
rnacentral:rRNA from 1 species